UAUCCUACGGGGCGCAGCAGUGGGGGAUAUUGCACAAUGGGGGGAACCCUGAUGCAGCGACGCCGCGUGGGUGAAGGAGCGUUUCGGCGCGUAAAGCCCUAUCGGCAGGGAAGAAGGAGGACGGUACCUGACUAAGAAGCCCCGGCUAACUACGUGCCAGCAGCCGCGGUAAUACGUAGGGGGCAAGCGUUAUCCGGAAUUACUGGGUGUAAAGGGAGCGUAGACGGUGAUGCAAGUCUGGAGUGAAAGGCGGGGGCCCAACCCCCGGACUGCUCUGGAAACUGUAUGACUU
rnacentral:rRNA from 1 species